rnacentral:rRNA from 1 species
UACGUAGGGUCCGAGCGUUGUCCGGAAUUAUUGGGCGUAAAGAGCUCGUAGGCGGUUUGUCGCGUCUGCUGUGAAAUCCCGAGGCUCAACCUCGGGUCUGCAGUGGGUACGGGCAGACUGGAGUGCGGUAGGGGAGAAUGGAAUUCCUGGUGUAGCGGUGGAAUGCGCAGAUAUCAGGAGGAACACCGAUGGCGAAGGCAGAUCUCUGGGCCGUAACUGACGCUGAGGAGCGAAAGCGUGGGGAGCGAACAGG